rnacentral:rRNA from 1 species
AUUGAACGCUGGCGGCAGGCCUAACACAUGCAAGUCGAGCGAGCGGCGGACGGGUGAGUAAUGCCUGGGAAUUGCUCAGACGAGGGGGGUAACAGUUGGAAACGACUGCUAAUACCGCAUACGCUUGGUUUGCCGGGGAGGGGUUAGCUAGUUGGUGUGGUAAUGGAUCACCCAGGCGACGAUCCCUAGGUGGUCUGAGAGGAUGAGCAGCCAACCCGGAACUGGACCAAGGUCCAGACGCCUACGGUAGGCCGCAGAGGGGAAUAUUGCACAAGGGGGGAAACCCGGAGACAGCCAAGCCGCGUGUGUGAAGAAGGCCUUCGGGUUGUAAAGCACUUUCAGCGAUGAGGCGUUACUCGCAGAAGAAGCACCGGCUAACUCCGUGCCAGCAGCCGCGGUAAUAC